rnacentral:misc_RNA from 1 species
AAGGAGUCUAACAUAUCUGCGAGUAUUUGGGUGUCAAACCCGAGCGCGCAAUGAAAGUGAACGUAGGAGCCACGCCCAAGCUGCAGCUUCGACCGAUCUGGAUCUUUAGUGAUGGAUUUGAGUAAGAGCGUAUAUGAUGGGACCCGAAAGAUGGUGAACUAUGCCUGAAUAGGGCGAAGCCAGAGGAAACUCUGGUGGAGGCUCGUAGCGAUUCUGACGUGCAAAUCGGUCGUCAGAUUUGGGUAUAGGGGCGAAAGACUAAUCGAACCAUCUAGUAGCUGGUUCCUGC